GACGAACGCUGGCGGCGUGCCUAGCACAUGCAAGUCGAACGGAAAGGCCCUGCUUUUGCGGGGUGCUCGAUUGGCGAACGGGGGAGUAACACGUGAGUAACCUGUCCUUGACUUUGGGAUAACUUCAGGAAACUGGGGCUAAUACCGGAUAGGAGCUCCUGCUGCAUGGUGGGGGUUGGAAAGUUUCGGCGGUUGGGGAUGGACUCGCGGCUUAUCAGCUUGUUGGUGGGGUAGUGGCUUACCAAGGCUUUGACGGGUAGCCGGCCUGAGAGGGUGACCGGCCACAUUGGGACUAAGAGAGGGCCCAGACUCCUACGGGAGGCAGCAGUGGGGAAUAUUGCACAAUGGGCGGGAGCCUGAUGCGGCAACGCCGCGUGCGGGAUGACGGCCUUCGGGUUGUAAACCGCUUUCGCCUGUGACGAAGCGUGAGUGACGGUAAUGGGUAAAGAAGCACCGGCUAACUACGUG
rnacentral:rRNA from 1 species